rnacentral:lncRNA from 1 species
UUCUCUUAAAGAAAAGGUGUAAAGAAUGAACUAUAUACACUGGAUAUUCAUUACACGAAUCAAAGGUAGAAGAGCUACUUCAGGACAAAAAAUGUAUAUAUUACAACCGGUUCUUCUAUCUAUAUGUAACCAUUCGUCAUUAAGCUCAAUAUACCUUCUUUUUUGCCGAAGUCAAGAUCUAUUGCAGCUCAAUGCAAGCAGCUUCAACACUGAACCUUCAAUGUAGAAAUGCAAUCCCUUGUCUAUAUAGUUGCACAGUCAAGAUUGCAAUAUUGGCAUGUAUCUCAAGAGCAGCAAAAUCAUAUGCUCCUGGGUUCUAGCACUUGCCCAGCUGAUAUAACUCAAGCAAGAAAACAUAUUCAGUAAACUAAAAUGGAAACUUUUUAGAAAGAGCCAUUAAAUAGUUGCUACGAGCUACAAUGCAGUAAUGUCGUCUCCAAGGUCGACGCUCAUUUCUCCCUCAUACGUCUGGACGUGUUUGGACAUCAAACGGGUGCCCAACAGGCUCCCCAAAAUUCAGCUGACUGGACAGUUCGGACUCCCCCAAAUCCAACCCAUAUGUGAGGGGAAAAUGUGAUUGCCCGGAGUAUCUAUCAUGUUAUCCACAACACACGAUCCCAAAAGAGAGAAGAAAAAUAAAUCAUGACACACAUUUCUCUUUUCCUGACGGACCCUCCCCUUCCCUCUCGGUUUCAUGCCGUAGUGAAACAUUUCUUGUUGGAGUCCUCUCCUUUAAACCAGAGACCGCCCACCUCAGCUUCGCCACGGCACCCUCUCGCUUCACAUCGUACUUCCCCAUGGAGUGGCAAGGAGGAGUCUCCCGCCAACCACCCCGCUCUCCGCCCCAAUCCCCUCGCCAUGUUCGUGUCGAUCCGUGGGCUGCCGUUGCAUUGCCAUGGAAUAACAGAAAAUGCACCAAUCACACAAUUGUUCUAAUUUAGAAAUGUGACUCGAACAUGACGACGUGUGGCUACCAUUCAUAUAAUGGCAACAAAUACCAAUUAUCUCUACCUCUUCUUUCGUCCGGUAGUCAUCGUCUCCUUAACCACUCUCAAAGACAAAGCGACAUCUAUCUCCUUGCCACCUGCUACUCCUUCCCCGAGAAAGUACACAUGGUCGAUGAGCGUCCGAUGGUUGAACGCGGUCGAGGCAGCCUCGUUGUCGCUCGCGCUCAUGACCAGUGGCGAGCUUCGCGUCCUCGACAGCACCACCAAAGACGACAAGCCCAUGCACCGCACGGGGCCUAGUCAGGCGUCAUCCUCGACUACAACAGCCUCCAGGUGAACGACAUGGACCACAACAGUGCUUGUCGUGGGGCACGAAGACGAGGUGUUGGUUGAAAUGCCUAGGAAAGAAAGAGGAGGAAGAAGAAGGUAAUAACGGCAAAUAUAACAGUCCGAAUAAACGGAGUUCACUUUGCUGCCGCAUCAGCCCUGACAAGUGGGUCCCACAUGUCAUAACACGUUUAAAACCAGCAAAAUGGUCAUCUAACGCAAGUGGUAGUUUUUAGGCAAAAAAUUAGCAUAAUCUGGUUUUUUUGACGUUUUUUAAACCGGUAGUUCUGUGGGACCGAUGAAACCUGUAGUGUGAUAGUUUUAUGAUAAAUACUCUCCACUAUUGGGGCAUAUCAUAAGCAACCUACAUGUGACAUGUGGCAAUGCAACAAAGCGUAGCUUUUCAAAGAAAGAUAACUGUAGCUUGCUCGGCAACUAAGACAGAAAAGCUUACUUUCCUACCUAGCUUUGACGGAAACUCUGGCCAGGCUCCACAGGGCGCCAGAAGGGAUGGAACGGCUAUCUGUUACCUUGGCUCACCGAGAAUCAUACCAGCAGAUCACUGCCGCCUUACACACAGACCGUAUCUACCAGUUAGCACUGCGUCCACACUCCUCUCUGCUCUCCCUUUCUCUCCCCUCAUGAGCGCAAGGGACAAAGAAUGACACUGGAAUCAAAUAAUAAAUUAGGAUUAACAACAACCCAUCAGGUCGAGGACAAAGAAUAUUCUGAAGAAAGAUGGCACGAUACAAUAAUUUUGAUAGCAAAAUUCCAUGUCUUUUUUUUAUCACAAAAUUGUUUUUCUUUUACAAAUGCAACAAAAUGAUCCUUGAUAGAAUACAUGGAUAUAAUUAAAAGGGACAACAAUACAAAAUAAGGAUUAGAUAAGCUUCUAAACUAACCUUUUAGCAUUUAGUCUAAACAUGGAUUAAAUAAUUUCAGUAAUCAUUUAUUUAUUAGAAAUGUAACCUGAUGUGUGGCUCACAUCUGCAAAACAAUUGUUCAGUGGGCUUGGGGCUUGAAUCUAAGAAAAACUUAUAUGAAAUUUUAGAGAAGAUCAAUGCCAAGUUGGACCCGUCACAUUGAGCUUCAUCCCAGCUACAUUUUAUUUUCGACCAAUAAUAAGCUGCAAUUCUCUUGUUCUGCUAUGAUAAGUAACGGAAUCUGUUCUUAACUACAACCAGUAGAGGAAUAUCAUCAGACAUGUGGUAGUUGCUCUUAAAGAAGGCACAAGACAAGUAGACAACAAGUCAAAAGCUUAUAAACCAUGAACAUUAUCCAGUGAGCUUUACCAAGAUGCAAUUUUUGCUAGAACUGAGUGUCAUGGUCUACAUAUAGUAACAGAAGUAGGACUAGAAGAAGUGGGUGAGACAAACCUGCACCAAACUAUCAAUUUUGAGCAGCGAGAGGCCAUAGCGCUUAAGUGACACAAGCGACAAGGCAUUGCAGCUUGCGGUGCAACCAAGAGCUCCCUAGCGGUGGCGGGAUGGUUUCCCUGUGCAGCGAUAGAAGUCAUGAAAACAGAGCAAUUUUUCAGUUUCGAUACAAAAUUUAAGGAAGAAAACUUUUCACCUACAAUCAGAACAGGGGAUCCAUAUCAGAGCAUGAAGAGUAUUCAUUUAGUACCAGUACUGAUAUGAAACAAUCUACGGAAUUCAAAAUCAAGAAAAUAUAGUAUAGAAGAUUAUAUGUGCAAAUUCCAGCAGUGAAUUAAAGGGUAUGAAACAAUCUACGGAAUUCAAAAUCAAGAAAAUAUGGUAUAGAAGAUUAUAUGUGCAAAUUCCGGCAGUGAAUUACAGGGAUGCUACAGGGACACCAACUUCUAAUUCUUCCAUCCUGCACAAAACAGUUACUUCGUCGAAGGCAAACUGAACGGAUUCAGAUCCUCGGGAAGAACUUUGGUUUGGAGUAGUAUUUGCGGAAUUCUCCUACCAUGGUGAGGCUCCACUCCCAUGCAUUGCAGUGGUAUUUCUGAAGUCUCUUGCCACGGUGAUACUCCACUCCGAUGCAUGACAGAGCUAGAUAUUUGAUUAUCAAACUAUAACCCGCUCUGGUAAGUAGACAAGGUCCAACCUAAAAAAACACAACCAUCUGGUCAUAAAUUACUAAGAUUGUAGAGGUACACACUUGUCUAACAAAGUAUCACCCACUCUGGGUCCAUCCUCAGAAGUAAUAACACCAAAACCGCUAGAGGGCACGUGAACGAGCCAAAUUCAGUGUGGUUUCACAUUUCAGGCUACAGAAACUUAACAAUAAUAAAAUGACCAGGCAUGCAUCAAAUCACUGUUUUCAGUGGUGAAUUGGCACAUAGACAUAUAAUCCUAUGUUUUUAAGGUGACGCUUCACUUUAAGGCGCUGGGGGGGGGCGCCUCGACGCCUAGGCGUCGCCUAAGCGUCGCCUUACAGAUACCUUAAAAACAUAGAUAUAAUCAUCAUCGGAAAGAAGAAGAGAUCGAAGCAAGACACUUACGGCUUUCAUUGUCGAGUAGGCGGUAGUGGUGUGGCCAACGUGGGGCAAGAAAAAAGCCUCUUUUUCAUCCCGAUGGCCCUGCCGCGGUGCAUCACCAUAUGAUCCUUGGCCAUGGUAUUCUCAUACUUGCGUGCUUGGAAGUCCGCUAGAAAGAUGGAUGGUGCUAACAUUGGUGUUGAUAGCCGUUUGCCCAAUCAGCACGAAGCAAAAUAUCCAGCCUAAGCCUGUCUAGCAAACACAUCCAUAGAAAAACAUAUACUAAUUUGUAACAGAUCUUCAGUUCUUUUGAUAUUGCUGUUGCUGCUUCCAACAGAAAUUGACCAACGCACUUCAUCCAAAAUAAUGAGAGGACAAGCACGGCAGAACAACAAAACUCAUGGGGACGAAAGUCAAAAAGGAGUCGGGAAGCACCGUAGCAGUUGUGAGUUGUGAAGGACGUCAAACAAUCGCAGUCGUCUCCAAGGUCGACGCGCUGGGAUCACAUUUGCUUCAGUCAAAUUAAAGAGCCAUUGCACAUAGACUAUGAACUACAUGGCAUUUGAAGUCAGCAUUCCAAUAUUUGC